rnacentral:rRNA from 1 species
GUCCACGCCCUAAACGAUGUCAACUAGGUGUUGGGAAGGUGACUUCCUUAGUACCGCAGCUAACGCGUGAAGUUGACCGCCUGGGGAGUACGGCCGCAAGGUUAAACUCAGAGGAAUUGACGGGACCCGCACAAGCGGUGGAUGAUGUGGAUUAAUUCGAUGCAACGCGAAAACCUUACCUACCCUUGACAUGCCAGGAACUCUGCUGAGAGGUGGAGGUGCCCGAAAGGGAGCCUGGACACAGGUGCUGCAUGGCUGUCGU